UGGAUCGUGUACGAGGUGGUGGUGUGUUUCUGUAUUUGAUGUUUGCUAGUCUGGAAAGGGAUUGUAUACUGAGGGGGAUUUUGAAAAUCGCCGAACCCUGCAUGCUGGCCUUGUCCCAAGUACUUAAAUGAUUUCUCCCUCCAAAACCUCACGACUUCCUACAGCUCUCUGCAGGUUCAUCGUGAGCUGGCGACAAAGCUGGAACCUAAAUCGACCUUAAUCCAGAAGCCAAGGGGCAGGAGGGUAUGGUAAGGUAGGCGUGUCUGUCUGAACUGCUUAGCAAUAAAGCAGAGGCCCGUCUUCA